CUCUAGUUGUACCUCGAAACAAAACUUCCACACCUUCCUCAAGUGUUGAAGAAGGGUCCCCAAAGUCCUUGAGAAAGGUGGAGCCUCAAAAAGAUCAGCACGCAACACAUGUCUUGAGACAGAGCCAUCACAGGAAUAUUGCUGCUCCCCUGCAUGCUGAUGAACAUCAAGUCAGAGCUUGUACUUCCAGGGACAAUCCACAAGCUGAAGCAACAGUGUUACCUGAAUGUGCUGACAAUACACUGGAUAAGGGAAAAGCACACCUGAAGGUGGCCAAGUUGCAGAAUCAGUCUAAAAGGCGCAAAUGUCUUUCUUCAAUUUUAAAGAAAUUUUCUCGAAAAAAAACUGUGGCCCCCCUCGUUGUGAAGAGACGUCAAGUCCUCCCUGUUGCCUUCAC